rnacentral:rRNA from 1 species
GACCUGCGGAAGGAUCAUUAACGAGUUCUGAAAUGGGUUGUAGCUGGCCUUCCGGGGCAUGUGCACACCCUGCUCAUCCACUCUACACCUGUGCACUCACUGUAGGUUGGCGUGGGCUUCCUUCGCGGGAAGCAUUCUGCCGGCCUAUGUAUACUACAAACACUAUAAAGUAACAGAAUGUAUUCGCGUCUAACGCAUCAUAAUACAACUUUCAGCAACGGAUCUCUUGGCUCUCGCAUCGAUGAAGAACGCAGCGAAAUGCGAUAAGUAAUGUGAAUUGCAGAAUUCAGUGAAUCAUCGAAUCUUUGAACGCACCUUGCGCUCCUUGGUAUUCCGAGGAGCAUGCCUGUUUGAGUGUCAUGGAAUUCUCAACCUAUAAAUCUUUGUGGUUUAUGGGCUUGGACUUGGAGGCUUGCCGGCCUCAAUGGUUGUCGGCUCCUCUUGAAUGCAUUAGCUUGAUUCCGUGCGGAUCGGCUCUCAGUGUGAUAAUUGUCUACGCUGUGAACCGUGAAGCGUUUGGCGAGCUUCUAACCGUCCCUUUGGGACCAUUUAUUGACAUCUGACCUCAAAUCAGGUAGGACUACCCGCUGAACUUAAGCAUAUCAAUAAGCGGAGGAAAAGAAACU